ensembl:lncRNA
GCGAUAAAAAAAAGCUGUAACACUGACUCAUAUGACAGUCACUAAUGUACUGUAUGUGCUAGGUGAAUGAGUGUAAAAAAAUAAUGAUUAUCUUAUCAAAUGUCUAAACAGAAACUGAGUGAUUAUCUUAUCAAAUGUAUAAACAGAUACUGAGUGAUUAUCGUAUCAAAUGUCUAAACAGAUACUGAGUGAUUAUCUUAUUAAAUGUCAAAAUGUGUUUAGUUCUGUUUUUUGAAAAGGAGAAUGAUCUCAUUGCAUAAGUAUGCCUCGAGACGUACUAGGUUUCUGCAAUUGGAAUCCUGAACUGAAGUGACAUUUUAUGGUUGUCAUGGCUGCAUAACACAUAGUGUGUGAGUGCGUGUGUGCGUCUGCAAUGUGAUAUCUUACAUACAUUGUGUCAUUACAGUACAUGUCUUAGACAUGAGAAUAGGAAUAUAUUGCUGUACUUAGGGGACAUUUUUACAAGAUUUUAUUUGAGGACAUUUAAACUAAAUGAUGUACAUGAAUAUAUUAAUUGAAACAAAUAACUCAUAAUUAAUGUAUUAGAUCAAGUUGAGGGAGAGGAACGAAUCCAAUACUUAAUAAUUGUUUGUAUUAUCCGAUAACUGUGCAGCUGUGUAAAAUAGUGUACAUUGAAGAAUAGAUUAAUAUCUAGUUUCAAUAUUAAUUUGAAAGCAAAAGAUACAUGUAUUCUUGCUAUGCAAGUGUUAUAUAUUGGAUGACAUCAGUGCCUGAUGCGGAAGAGUUAGUCAUUGAAAGAGUGGCUGGUAGUGACACCUAGGCAACAUUUCAUGUGUGCGUGUGUGUGUAUGUGUGUACGUGUAUUGUUUGUGUGCGUUUUGUGUGUGUGCGUGAGAGAGAAAUCUUUAAGGCUGUAACCUGAGAGACUCUUGGCUGGAGUGGGUCUCUGUCAUCAGACUAAUAAAUCAGAGAUAGAAGUCACAGUCCAUGACUGAAGAAACACUGUUACAACACAGCUAAUAAGGUAGAUAACAGAUUCACAAGGUACUGUACUCCAGUCAAAUAAAACUGACUUGUGUUCUACUUACCGUAGUUAAUACAAAACAAGAGUUGGUCCCUUGGUCAAUGCCUUAGCCUGGUAUCUGUUCUGUAGCACGUAUCGCCUUGCUUUAUCCAAAACAGACUGACCACCUGCCUACAGAACAUCACCUUUGAUCUUGAGUCUCUAAAAGGAACUUUUACCCCAAAUAUAGCCAGGCCGUACAUGCCAGGGCUCUCCAGGGUUACAGGAAGAGACAACCCUAAGCCCUGCAGUUUCACACUGCUAACUACCAAGGUAACUGUCAGUUUCACACAGCUAACUACCAAGGUAACUGUCAGUUUCACACAGCUAACUACCAAGGUAACUGUCAGUUUCACACAGCUAACUACCAAGGUAACUGUCAGUUUCACACAGCUAACUACCAAAAUAACUGUCAGUUUCACACUGCUAGCUACCAAGAUAACUGUCAGUUUCACACUGCUAGCUAUCAAGAUAACUGUUAGUUUCACACUGCUAGCUAUCAAGACAACUGUCAGUUUCACACUGCUAGCUACCAAGAUAACUGUUAGUUUCACACUGCUAACUAUCAAGACAACUGUCAGUUUCACACUGCUAGCUAUCAAGAUAACUGUUAGUUUCACACUGCUAGCUAUCAAGACAACUGUCAGUUUCACACUGCUAGCUACCAAGAUAACUGUUAGUUUCACACUGCUAGCUAUCAAGACAACUGUCAGUUUCACACUGCUAGCUACCAAGGUAACUGUUAGUUUCACACUGCUAACUACAAAGAUAACUGUUAGUUUCACACUGCUAGCUAUCAAGAUAACUGUCAGUUUCAAAAUCUGUUUGUAUGUUUAUGUACAGUAUAUGUACACUGAGUAUACCAAACAUGCCUUAUGCCUUCAGAACGGCCUCAAUUCAUCCGGGCAUUGACUCUACAAGGUGUCGAAAGCAUUCCACAGGGAUGCUGGUCCAUGUUGACUCCAAUGCUUCCCACAGUUGUGUCAAGUUGGCUGGAUGUCCUUUGGGUGGUGGACCAUUCUUGAUACACACGGUAAACUGUUGAGUUUGAAAAACUAAGCAGUGUUGCAGUUCUUGACACAAACCAGUGCGCCUGGCACCUGCUACCAUACCCUGUUCAAAGGUACUUACAUUUUUUGUCUUGCCCAUUCACCUUUCGAAUGGCACAUACACAAUCCAUGUCCAAUUGUAUCAAAGUUUAAACAUCCUUCUUUAAACUGCCUCCUCCCCUUCAUCUACACUGAUCGAAGUGAUUUAACAGGUGACAUCAAUAAGGGAUCAUAGCUUUCAUCUGUAUUCACCUAUGUCAUGGAAAGAGUUCUUAAUGUUUUCUAUGCUCAAUCUAUGUAUUCUCUUUUGAGGCAAUAGAGUUUCCCCUCAGCGCCCAGCAUUAUUAGCAUGGGCUGAUCUCUUUCCACAUUAGUGUUCUGCCACCGGUUGCUAUAUGUACAUCAAGACCUAAGCGCUAUUCAGAUGCCAGCUCUCAGAAGCCUCACCCCUGUGUGCUCGUGUGUGUUUACAUGUCUCUGAACACUGGGUCUGAUAGUGCUCUUAAGAGGGAAAUUUGCCACUUCAUUUGAUAACCGGAUGCCCCUCAAUUUAGCAUGUUAGGUCAGGGUGAUUAUAGAGGGGAUUGGGGGUAUAAUUUGGGGAUCAGGGGAUUCUGAGUACAAUUACCGGUAACACACCCACUCCCAUUUCUUUACCGCACUCUCUUUCUCUCUCCCCCAGCCACCUCCCUCUCUCUCUCUUCCUCUCUCCCCCAUCCACCCUUCUCUC